rnacentral:rRNA from 1 species
CAUAUGGAUUCCUACGGGAGGCAGCAGUGGGGAAUAUUGCACAAUGGGCGCAAGCCUGAUGCAGCAACGCCGCGUGAGGGACGAAGGCCUUCGGGUUGUAAACCUCUUUUAGUAGGGAAGAAGCGACUGGGUUUUCCUGGGAGUGACGGUACCUGCAGAAAAAGCACCGGCUAACUACGUGCCAGCAGCCGCGGUAAUACGUAGGGUGCAAGCGUUGUCCGGAAUUAUUGGGCGUAAAGAGCUCGUAGGCGGUUUGUCGUGACUGGUAAACCUGGGAAGCUCAACCUCGGGCCUGCAGUGGGUACGGGCAGACUAGAGUGCGGUAGGGGAGAUUGGAAUUCCUGGUGUAGCGGUGGAAUGCGCAGAUAUCAGGAGGAACACCAAUGGCGAAGGCAGAUCUCUGGGCCGUAACUGACCGCUGAGGAGCGAAAGCAUGGGGAGCGAACAGGAUUAGAUACCCUGGUAGUCCAUGCCGUAAACGUUGGGAACUAGAUGUGGGGACCAUUCCACGGUCUCCGUGUCGCAGCUAACGCAUUAAGUUCCCCGCCUGGGGAGUACGGCCGCAAGGCUAAAACUCAAAGGAAUUGACGGGGGCCCGCACAAGCGGCGGAGCAUGCGGAUUAAUUCGAUGCAACGCGAAGAACCUUACCAAGGCUUGACAUAUACCGGAAACGGCUGGAAACAGUCGCCCCGCAAGGUCGGUAUACAGGUGGUGCAUGGUUGUCGUCAGCUCGUGUCGUGAGAUGUUGGGUUAAGUCCUUCA